CGCACGGCUGUAGAGGGUCCCCCCCGCCCCGGGCCCCCGGCUCCCAGGCCAACGCAGAAGUCCGGGACCUUCCCGGAGGUGUAUCAGUCUGUCACCCAGACCACAAGUCUUCCCGACCCCAGAUACGGUGUAAGGGGGACAACGACAGUCGGUUAUGUAGUACUCGCGCUUCUUUCGGUCUCGGAUCACGGUCUCCUCCAGAAACUGCAGCUGGUUCUAGAGGGCAGGCGGGGGCGGCGGGUGUCUACCCGGAUAGAAGUGGCACAGCGGCCCAGGCGACACGGCCCAGGCGACACAACAGCAGCACCACUCUGGGAAAGACUUGAGGACAACUGAAUUCUGACUAGAUAUUCCCUGAGCCUUUGGUGUUCCAGGCGCUAUUUUCUCUGAAUUGAAACACCCCCUCAUAGAGAGAGGGAGAUUCAAGACUCAGGAAGUCCGUGAAACCUCACGAGGUUCAAGAAACAAGAUUCACAAAGCCCUUCCCCAGGGUACCAUGGAUGGGUGAGAAGACUUACGAGUGUAACUCUAUGACAUCUUUUCCAUCAGUAACUCCUAACCCAUGCUCUGUAAGGAAGCCCAAUAAACUCUUUGUUCUCUAAGAGAACUUUGGUGGAA